GACGGGUCCCCUUACCGGGCCAGAGGGAGCAGACUCAUCAAGACUUUGUGCCUCAGGAGGUCCCGGUGCAGCUCCUGGAAAUGACGGAAUUUCUUCUUGGUUGUCCAGGUGAAGACCCAGAAGAAUUGAAAGCACGCGGGCGCACAGAGACCUGCACGCGGUAGUACUCAACUAGCCAAACCGUGGGAACAACCCAACGUCCCUCAGCUGCUGAAUGGGCAGACAAAACAUGGUGGUUCCUCCAAGAAUACCAGUGAGUCCCCAGCAGCAUCCAGGCUGGAAGCAAGCUGUCAGCGGAUUUUCACGGCUCCUGUCGGUGGCCCCAGCCCCUCUGUGUCUGUCUCUGCCACCUCCCCCCUCCCAGUGGCCUCCUGCUUCUCCCUGGAGAUCAGAGAGGGCUCCCAAAUUAAGGGGGCGCGACAGGAUAGGUGUCUGAAUGGGGUAUCCGUCCACCUCUUCCCUCCUCCCUCUCCUCCUCCUUCCAUCCCCUGGCGCCUAUAAUCACCAGGCGGUCUGAGGCUAAGUGGUAGUUUGGCCCACAGUGGGGGGGCUUGCCAGCCACACCCCUCCUCCUGGGGCCCUCCUGACCAGUCCCGGCACCCUGGUCUCCUCCACUGGUGAGAUGGGUCUCAAGGGGGCAUGGUGUUUCCCAUGGUGUGGGUGCCGGAGGCAGCAGAGGACUGGAAGAGGAGCAGGCCUGGAUUCCGCUGCCCCUCCAGACCCAAACCCCAGCCAGGCUGAAGCCCCCACCGUGGCUGAGGGAGGGAUACCCUCCCUAGGGUCUGGCGCCUACUUCAGCAGGAAGGCCCGACUCUCCUUCCGCCACCAGCUGCACGACCCGGCGACGGCCAAUGACUCCACCAUUUGAUGGGGACGACCGGGGGCUGAACUUUGCAACCUUCCCUCCCCAGACUUCUGGGUGAUCCCUGUUUGGCCCCACAGCCCCCACGACCUUGUCAUUAAAUAUACUCAGAGCUGCCA